rnacentral:misc_RNA from 1 species
CCGCUUUCCCCGCUCCCGCCCCGCCCUGAGAUUUUUCUGAGUGAGAGCCACCGAGGGCUGCUUUUUUAAAAUAAAUAUUAGCAAUAUCCCUUGAUAAUUUAAUAUAACUGAUUGUGUUGUGUUCGUCCGCUAUGGACAAAUGUGGGAUUUGUCUUAAACCUGCCGUUCAACUGUUUGAGACAGGAAAGGAUGGCAUCUAUGCCUGCUUCAAAUGCCAGCCGCUCGUGCCUGAAGUGACUAUUGGAGAAAAUGGCAACGACCAGACCGUGCCACAGACCUCCACCAACAACACGGAAGAGAAUAUGCAGCUACAGAACCAUUUGCGCAACCACCGCGCCGAGAGACGCUUCAUAUGCACAUACUGCAAUAAAGCGUUCUCCCAGUCGAACAAUUUGAGGGCGCACUUGCGUAUCCACACUAAUGAAAGACCCUUCAAGUGCUCCGAAUGUGGGAAGGCCUUUACACAGGUUACGAAUCUUAACAAUCACGUUCGGCUGCAUACUGGCGAGCGUCCGUUCGUCUGCCCGGAGCCUGGCUGUAAUAAGGCUUAUGCACAGGUGACGAAUUUGAACCAGCAUCGCAAGCGUCACCUGAACGGGCGGCCCGUGGAGUCCACGUACGACUGCACCGUCUGCGGCGAGCAGUUCCAACAGCGGAACCACAUGUAUUUGCACAGACGCGAAGUCCACGCUGAGCUGAAGAGUCCCGCCCGCAGUCCACCAGCGCGUCUCUCAUGCGGGGUAUGCGGGCUCUCCUGCGCCAGCGAGCGGCAGCUGCAGCGCCACGCCGCCGCGCACGACGCGCCGCGGCCGGACGCCGCGUAUGUCUGCGUGUUCUCCUCCUGCGGCAAGCGCCUCGCGUCCGCCAGCGAGCAUACUGAGCAUCUGCUGAGGGAACACCAGCUCCGCGUGCUCAGCCACGCCACGCGACACCCGCCACGACGGGGACGACCGCCCAAGAUAAUGAAGGAUCCCUUGGAAAUAAAAGAAGAAGAUUACCAUGAAGUAAAGAUUACAAAAUCCCAGCCACAAUACUUGCCGAAGCUGAAAGUGCAGAGUUUAUUCCAGUGAGUUAGAAGGAACAGUACAUUGUUGUUAGUGCGCAGCAUGCGGGCGGUGCUGCGGCGUCUGCGCAGACACACGGACACAGAAGCCAAACUACCACAAACUAAUUCUUACCUUACCUCGUAAGCAAUAAAGUGCAUAUUUCCAUAACUACUCGUGUCGUAUGCUGUGCCAGUCUGCGCAGACCAUAGGUUUAUUAUUAUGAUUAUAACAUGUCGGGACAUUGUUGUACUUCUAUACUUUAGGGCCAACUAGUUAAGUCAAGUAUGCUUUGUACUUACAGUUUACUGUUAUGCUUUGUUUUAUUGCAGAUUUUAAAUAUAAGAAUACCAAUACAUACCAAUAUUGAAUUUAUGUGUAUCAGAGAUAAUAGCGGAUCUACAUGUCUUUCUUUAAGCUAUAAAUAUCUAAAUGUGAAAUACAUGUGUAUGAAGUAUAAUUUUGUGACAUCGUAGUUUCGAGAAAUAUUUUACAAGUACAGCGAAGUAGUGAUAGUUCGAUUAUUUUUCGCGCGAAAAUAUUCUCAAUGAAAUAAAAGUUUCUUUGAAUAUAAAAUUAAUAGAAAUUAAUAAAAGUCUACAUUUAUGAUUGUAAUAAUAUUAAGUGAUAAUAAAUAAGUGCAAUUUACUGUAACAAGUUAAUAUUAUUGUUACAUUAGCGUAAGCAUUAACUUUCGAUAUUUUAUUUUUGUCUCCAAGCCGUAGUUUGUAAGUCAUGUCGAGAUAUACAUAGUUUAUUUCAGAAAUAUAUAUACAUAAUGCAAUACAUUUAUAUUUUCAUUAUAUAAGAAAAUCAAAUAAAUAGCAUAUCGCAGAUCACGUUUAUAACUUAUUUACUUUGCUUUUAUAUACUUUUAUUAUAAAGACUGUGAAAGGAAUUUAACAAGUAAUUUUUGAUGUCAUUUAAUUUUUUCUGCAACGAAUUUCAAGGCGUAAUCAAGUAUUUUUCCAGUAUUAUAAAUUAUAUACUUUGUUCGGAAUUUCGGUAUAAGCAUAAAUUAUUAUGGUUUACAUAUUGUUUUGUAAUUGCACCCUUUACUGUGACACUGUUUGUUGGAUAUGAUAAGUUUGUAGAAAUUAGUGAGAAUUGUUUUAAAGAGAAUAGUUGUUCGAAAUUAUUUCCCGAUAAGCGUAUGACAGCCAUAGCGUAAAACCGAGGAUAUGUUGAACAACAAAGCAAUUAGUGCAAUAAGUAAACAUAGUUUAGAAGCAAAUAUUUUACCACAGACUAAGUUGCGGUCAAUAGAUAUUUACACCACGGAGGUCGAGGUCAUGAGAUUUCCUCGCUAGCUAUGGUAGAGAUAAGCUUAUCGUAGAUUGUCAUAUGUACGAUUACAAUAACUUAUGUAUCGAUUUCCAGUACUGCCUGAAAAAAUAUUAGAGUAAUGAAAACAUGAUUUGCUAAUCUUAAUAGUACAUUCUAUAGGAGUCUUCUGCGAGAUUAAUUCUGUACAAAGGUGAAGACUGGCUUGAUUUUAUUAUAAAACAAGUUAAAAAAAAAAUGUGUACACAAUAUAACUAGAAAAUCAUGUAACUUUUUGGAUACAUAAUUGUGAUUUCAGUUUUGCAUUUUUUUUUCAAAUGUACGUGCGUGUUAUAUUUUAUGUAUCAGUACAUAAGUUAUUGAAAACGUCAGAUAGAGAUAUAAUUGCGUUAGGAUAAGGUGCAAAUGUUCCUAUGAGUGUGUCAGAGUGUCGGUUCGAUUAUUGUCGAUGGAUAUAAACAUGCCGCGUGUUCUAUAGUCGACCAUUUCAAUAUUUUUAGCCUUGUUAAGUGUCAGCAUGUCGGAGAUUUUUCUAUUAACAUACAAAUAAUUACGAUAAUAAAAUAUGCAACCGUA